CGUAGGGUGCGAGCGUUAAUCGGAAUUACUGGGCGUAAAGCGUGCGCAGGCGGUUUUGUAAGCCAGAUGUGAAAUCCCCGGGCUGAACCUGGGAAUGGCAUUUGGGACUGCAAGGCUUGAGUGCGGCAGAGGAGACUGGAAUUCCUGGUGUAGCAGUGAAAUGCGUAGAUAUCAGGAGGAACACCGAUGGCGAAGGCAGGUCUCUGGGCUGACACUGACGCUCAUGCACGAAAGCGUGGGGAGCAAACAGGAUUAGAUACCCUGGUAGUCCACGCCCUAAACGAUGUCGACUGGUUGUUGGGGGUUUGACACUCUCAGUAACGAAGCUAACGCGUGAAGUCGACCGCCUGGGGAGUACGGCCGCAAGGUUA
rnacentral:rRNA from 1 species